CGGCGUGUAGCUCAGGAAGAGCGCCUUGCUUGGGGCAAGGAGGUCGUAGGUGAAAAUCCUGCCACGCCAA
rnacentral:tRNA from 1 species